rnacentral:tRNA from 1 species
GCCCGGGUGGCUCAGUCGGUUGAGCGUCCGACUUCGGCUCAGGUCAUGAUCUUGUGGUUCGUGGGUUCGAGCCCCGCGUCGGGCU